UACAGAGGGGGCAAGCGUUAUUCGGAAUUAUUGGGCGUAAAGGGCGCGUAGGCGGCCUGGCAAGUGGAAGGUGAAAUCCCUCGGCUUAACCGAGGAACUGCCCUCCAAACUGCUUGGCUUGAGUCCGGGAGAGGUGAGUGGAAUUCCCAGUGUAGCGGUGAAAUGCGUAGAUAUUGGGAGGAACACCAGUGGCGAAGGCGGCUCACUGGAUCGGAACUGACGCUGAGGUGCGAAAGCGUGGGGAGCAAACAGG
rnacentral:rRNA from 1 species